GGGUUGUGAGGUUAAGCGACUAAGCGUACACGGUGGAUGCCCUGGCAGUCAGAGGCGAUGAAGGACGUGCUAAUCUGCGAAAAGCGCCGGCGAGGUGAUAUGAACCUUUGACCCGGCGAUGUCCGAAUGGGGAAACCCAGUGUGAUUCGUCACACUAUCGUUAACUGAAUACAUAGGUUAACGAGGCGAACCGGGGGAACUGAAACAUCUAAGUACCCCGAGGAAAAGAAAUCAACCGAGAUUCCCCCAGUAGCGGCGAGCGAACGGGGAGCAGCCCAGAGUCUGAAUCAGCUUGUGUGUUAGUGGAAGCGUCUGGAAAGUCGCACGGUACAGGGUGACAGUCCCGUACACGAAAAUGCACAGGUUGUGAACUCGAAGAGUAGGGCGGGACACGUGGUAUCCUGUCUGAAUAUGGGGGGACCAUCCUCCAAGGCUAAAUACUCCUGACUGACCGAUAGUGAACCAGUACCGUGAGGGAAAGGCGAAAAGAACCCCGGCGAGGGGAGUGAAAUAGAACCUGAAACCGUGUACGUACAAGCAGUGGGAGCACCUUCGUGGUGUGACUGCGUACCUUUUGUAUAAUGGGUCAGCGACUUAUAUUCUGUAGCAAGGUUAACCGUAUAGGGGAGCCGAAGGGAAACCGAGUCUUAACUGGGCGUUAAGUUGCAGGGUAUAGACCCGAAACCCGGUGAUCUAGCCAUGGGCAGGUUGAAGGUUGGGUAACACUAACUGGAGGACCGAACCGACUAAUGUUGAAAAAUUAGCGGAUGACUUGUGGCUGGGGGUGAAAGGCCAAUCAAACCGGGAGAUAGCUGGUUCUCCCCGAAAGCUAUUUAGGUAGCGCCUCGUGAACUCAUCUUCGGGGGUAGAGCACUGUUUCGGCUAGGGGGCCAUCCCGGCUUACCAACCCGAUGCAAACUACGAAUACCGAAGAAUGUUAUCACGGGAGACACACGGCGGGUGCUAACGUCCGUCGUGAAGAGGGAAACAACCCAGACCGCCAGCUAAGGUCCCAAAGUCAUGGUUAAGUGGGAAACGAUGUGGGAAGGCACAGACAGCCAGGAUGUUGGCUUAGAAGCAGCCAUCAUUUAAAGAAAGCGUAAUAGCUCACUGGUCGAGUCGGCCUGCGCGGAAGAUGUAACGGGGCUAAACCAUGCACCGAAGCUGCGGCAGCGACACUAUGUGUUGUUGGGUAGGGGAGCGUUCUGUAAGCCGUUGAAGGUGUGCUGUGAGGCAUGCUGGAGGUAUCAGAAGUGCGAAUGCUGACAUAAGUAACGAUAAAGCGGGUGAAAAGCCCGCUCGCCGGAAGACCAAGGGUUCCUGUCCAACGUUAAUCGGGGCAGGGUGAGUCGACCCCUAAGGCGAGGCCGAAAGGCGUAGUCGAUGGGAAACAGGUUAAUAUUCCUGUACUUGGUGUUACUGCGAAGGGGGGACGGAGAAGGCUAUGUUAGCCGGGCGACGGUUGUCCCGGUUUAAGCAUGUAGGCGGAACGAUUAGGUAAAUCCGGUCGUUUUUUAACGCUGAGGUGUGAUGACGAGGCACUACGGUGCUGAAGUAACAAAUGCCCUGCUUCCAGGAAAAGCCUCUAAGCAUCAGGUAACAUUAAAUCGUACCCCAAACCGACACAGGUGGUCAGGUAGAGAAUACCAAGGCGCUUGAGAGAACUCGGGUGAAGGAACUAGGCAAAAUGGUGCCGUAACUUCGGGAGAAGGCACGCUGAUAUGUAGGUGAAGCCCCUGCGGGUGGAGCUGAAAUCAGUCGAAGAUACCAGCUGGCUGCAACUGUUUAUUAAAAACACAGCACUGUGCAAACACGAAAGUGGACGUAUACGGUGUGACGCCUGCCCGGUGCCGGAAGGUUAAUUGAUGGGGUUAGCGGCAACGCGAAGCUCUUGAUCGAAGCCCCGGUAAACGGCGGCCGUAACUAUAACGGUCCUAAGGUAGCGAAAUUCCUUGUCGGGUAAGUUCCGACCUGCACGAAUGGCGUAAUGAUGGCCAGGCUGUCUCCACCCGAGACUCAGUGAAAUUGAACUCGCUGUGAAGAUGCAGUGUACCCGCGGCAAGACGGAAAGACCCCGUGAACCUUUACUAUAGCUUGACACUGAACACUGGUCCUUGAUGUGUAGGAUAGGUGGGAGGCUUUGAAGUGUGGACGCCAGUCUGCAUGGAGCCGUCCUUGAAAUACCACCCUUUAAUGGCUGGUGUUCUAACGUAGACCCGUAAUCCGGGUUGCGGACAGUGUCUGGUGGGUAGUUUGACUGGGGCGGUCUCCUCCCAAAGAGUAACGGAGGAGCACGAAGGUUAGCUAAUCCUGGUCGGACAUCAGGAGGUUAGUGCAAUGGCAUAAGCUAGCUUGACUGCGAGAGUGACGGCUCGAGCAGGUGCGAAAGCAGGUCAUAGUGAUCCGGUGGUUCUGAAUGGAAGGGCCAUCGCUCAACGGAUAAAAGGUACUCCGGGGAUAACAGGCUGAUACCGCCCAAGAGUUCAUAUCGACGGCGGUGUUUGGCACCUCGAUGUCGGCUCAUCACAUCCUGGGGCUGAAGUAGGUCCCAAGGGUAUGGCUGUUCGCCAUUUAAAGUGGUACGCGAGCUGGGUUUAGAACGUCGUGAGACAGUUCGGUCCCUAUCUGCCGUGGGCGCUGGAGAAUUGAGGGGGGCUGCUCCUAGUACGAGAGGACCGGAGUGGACGCAUCACUGGUGUUCGGGUUGUCAUGCCAAUGGCACUGCCCGGUAGCUAAAUGCGGAAAAGAUAAGUGCUGAAAGCAUCUAAGCACGAAACUUGCCCCGAGAUGAGUUCUCCCUGAGACUUUAAGUCUCCUGAAGGAACGUUGAAGACGACGACGUUGAUAGGUCGGGUGUGUAAGCGCAGCGAUGCGUUGAGCUAACCGAUACUAAUGAACCGUGAGGCUUAACCUUACAACGCCGAAG
rnacentral:rRNA from 1 species